UACAUGGGGUGCAAACGUUGCUCGGAAUUAUUGGGCGUAAAGCGCGCGUAGGCGGUUACUCAAGUCGGAUGUGAAAGCCCUCGGCUUAACUGAGGAAGUGCGCCCGAAACUGAGUAGCUAGAGUACUAAAGAGGGUCGCGGAAUUCCCGGUGUAGAGGUGAAAUUCGUAGAUAUCGGGAGGAACACCGGUGGCGAAGGCGGCGACCUGGGUAGAUACUGACGCUGAGGCGCGAAAGCGUGGGGAGCAAACAGG
rnacentral:rRNA from 1 species